AUGUCAACGAAGAGCCAGAAAUUAGAGAAGACGUCAAAACUUGUUUCGGAGGCCAAGCGCCACCCAGGCCACUCCCUCAAAGUGAUCCGAGGUGCACCACUGCAGGGCGGGGUAGGCUCGAAGGGCGUGGCGCGCCUUGGUGUUCGGGAUGAGCCGGCUGCUCUAGAGACAGUGGCGUUCCAAUUGCAGUUUUCCAUGUGCAGCUACCGGAAACACCAACAGUAUUUGAAGCUGCAGGAAAGAGAAAUCAGUACACAAAGAUCAGCUGUGUUCCUGCACACGAAUUGGCAUCAGAGAGAAAGAAAACCAUCUCACAGACCCGCUGGGGCUUCAGCUUUGGGACAUUGUGGAGUUCGGUUCAGGCUGAUGGGAGUCUGGUCUCCUCAGGACUUGUGGAGAGGAGGUGCCGUUGAAGGAAAGUGUCUGAGGACUCCACCUGCUGGGAGCCAGCAUGGGAGAUCCCACCGUGACAAGGUCAUGCGAAGGAGACCUGACAAGCAAGGCUUCAGGACUCAAGGGACUCCCUGGGC
ensembl:lncRNA